GACGAACGCUGGCGGCGUGCUUAACACAUGCAAGUCGAACGGAAAGGCCCUGCUUUUGUGGGGUGCUCGAGUGGCGAACGGGUGAGUAACACGUGAGUAACCUGCCCUUGACUUUGGGAUAACUUCAGGAAACUGGGGCUAAUACCGGAUAGGAGCUCCUGCUGCAUGGUGGGGGUUGGAAAGUUUCGGCGGUUGGGGAUGGACUCGCGGCUUAUCAGCUUGUUGGUGGGGUAGUGGCUUACCAAGGCUUUGACGGGUAGCCGGCCUGAGAGGGUGACCGGCCACAUUGGGACUGAGAUACGGCCCAGACUCCUACGGGAGGCAGCAGUAGGGAAUAUUGCACAAUGGGCGGAAGCGUGAUGCAGCAACGCCGCGUGCGGGAUGACGGCCUUCGGGUUGUAAACCGCUUUCGCCUGUGACGAAGCGUGAGUGACGGUAAUGGGUAAAGAAGCACCGGCUAACUACGUG
rnacentral:rRNA from 1 species